rnacentral:lncRNA from 1 species
AUCACGUUGCUUUUGACUUGCACCAUUGAGUUUGCACCAAAAAUUCUCCAAUACACGUCGCUGCUUUGCAAGACAAGAUCGAUCUGAGGCACUGCUGGGCCGACACGUGUGCUGCCAAUGCGGGUAGAAUCAAAGCACGCCCCAAAAGGUGAAACUGAAUCGACUCUAGGCGCAUUAGCCAACUCUUUGGUGAAAGCUUUAACGAAAGCUUCGUAGAUUGAUGACUCCAACACUGUGUAAGGAUGGACGGUGCUGAUCUUGGUUCCGCCGACACCGUUUUUGUCAAUCGAUAGCAAAGAAGUGUUUAACGGGACAACAUGUCCGUUGAUUUUAACGGACUUGACUCCAAUGAAGUAAUCAGUUGAAGGUCGGGGCCUGAAAAGAAGAGUUGCUGUGGACACAGGAUUGAGGAUAAGUGGGGUGUAUACGAGAGACGUGGAAACGUCAACACCAGGGAGCAUCACAUAAGGCCCGUCGCCAAAGAAGACAGCACCGUUAGCUUUGGUAGAAGAGCUCAAGCAAAUGGCAAAUUUUCUAGGAAAGCUGAAAGCAGAAGAGAACAGAGAUGGAAGUGAAAUUGAGUUUCUUCCAAGGCCAGCCAUGCCCCUAACACCGUUAGCCAGAUCUGUCAAAUGAAACCUAUCGGCACACACAAAGAGGAGCUUAGGCACCGAAACAACUCUACCCGGGUUCUUCCCGUUAGUAGACUGGAUAGACGCGACAUCCAUGGACAACGGGCCAUUGAAACUAAUGCCAUUUAUAGUGUUAUCCGGUAAGAGAUUGCAGGUAUUGUUGUUGCAGCCUGGCCUGGGUUGAGAAUCAGAGCAAUCCCAACAAAAUGGAGCAUUAGCAAGAGAGCAUGGAGCGGAGUGGCAAAGGGGAGAUGUGAAGGAAGAUGACUCAUAAUCUUCUAAACAAACCACCCAGAGAAACUGACCACCAAGAUCAAGGGUAUAUUUCACAGGCACAAGUGGGGUUCUUUGGUUGAUUUGAGUGAGGUAUUGGAGAGUUGAUGCAUCUUUGGUUACGGGAAGAAUUAAUGCUUUUGGUCUAAAAGAUGUUUGGGCUAUGCAGGGAGAGAUGAUCACGGAAAGGACAAGUGAGCAAAAGAGAAGAUAGUUGUAAGAGAGAGCCAUAUCUUUGGCUCUAAGUGCUGCGUUGUGGAUAGAGUACUGCGUUGUGGAUAGAGUACUGCGGUAGAGUUGUGAGCAGCCAGCUGAAUUUAUAGUAGAUUUCUGAACGCGUAAAAGCUUUCAAUCAUGACCAAAUCCAAAUUACACAACUUGACAAGUUGUAACAAUUAAUGGGUAUUCUUCAAAUUCUAUAACGGCUGCUAGCUACCAAUUGGCAAAAGCAAUUAAUUGUCUCUGGCUGGCAUAGCUCAGAUCAGUAAACUGGUAAUAACAAGCAGUACGUAAUUUUUCACUUUUGAUGCACAUAUAUAUAAAGAAAAUAAUAUGGUAACAAUUAAUUCUAUUCAUAGAAUUGGUCAAACAGAGUCAUCAAUCAUAAAUUUACGUUGCUUGAUGAAUCGAUGAUCACAGUGUUGCCAACGAUCGCAAUUCUUAGCCCCUGACAGAGAUACAACUAAAAUCAACACAAAGUACGUAACAUAAAGCGAAAAUCCCAUUUACGGUUUGCAAUAACUCUGUUCAUUAACAUUCUUCUCAUGUAGUGGGAUUAAUUUGUGGUAGCUAAGCUAAGCAUGAUUACUGGUACUUCCAUCAUCUACGUAAGGCUUCAUAUUUCAUUUAAUAUGUACGGCUAGGCGACUAACUCCAAACAUUCUAUUUUACAGUUGAUGGAAUGGUUGCUAACCGUAGUGUAGUUGAUGACUAAGCUGGCUAAUUUUUGGGUGCUGAUCUAGACUCUUUCACUUGGUGAGAUUAUGCUGCUCCUGCGGCUGACAUUCUAUCUCUGUCGCACAGGGACGUUAUUAAGGUGCCAUAAUAUCGAUUCUGCUAAGUUAAUUGCCCCUUAUAUUUUUGUUUUCUAAAUUGUCUUGCUUUUUUUUUUUUUGGGUUUUGAGGAUUAUGUCUGGUCUGGUCUCUCCCCCUGCUUCUUUGCUUUGUGUUGCUACUUUCUUUAUUUAUUUUAAUAUAUCUCCCUCAAAUUUUUGAGGUUAAUUCAAAUUAAAAAAAAAAAAAAACUAACCGUAUACUUCAUCGUUUAGGCAACGUGUGAUAUGAAAAUAAACAUUUAUUAAUAUAAAUAUUAAUUCAUACUAACCUUAAUUAGUUAAUUAAUUUUACCAAAUGAAAAAGGGUUUUGGUCAUUUCCUAUUUAGAAGUUAGAAAAGUAUUUUCUAUUUUGAUCAUCAAUUUCUUAUCUCUUUUUUUUUUAAUAAGCAUUACUAAUCCUAAUUAGAAUAGUAUCUUAAUUUUAUAUUGCUAUACAUACACAUAUGACAGAAAAUUAUGAAAAGUUGAGUAUAGAUAAGCUCAACAUGAAUUAAAUCUAUUUUAUAAACCACUCUAAAUUAGUAUAAGCCAAAUGUUAGAGAAAGAUCAAAUCAUAUUAUUGAGAGAAACUAACAAGGAAGACUCAUUUGUGACAUGUGAGAGUAAACAAGAGGUGGGAUUUCCUAAUUAAAAAGAGAGGCUUGCUAGAAACAAAUUCUCCGUACAAGAAUAUGUAAGAUUUGUUGGGUUUUGGUCAAAUAAGAAUAAAAAAUCUAAUUGUGAAAAGUGAUCACAACGAAUCACUUAUAAAAAAUUACAAUAUUUGGUGGUAUCUCGGUGUUUAGAAGUCUAUAUAAGGACAAGGGAGAUGGCUUUCAAUAAUAAUCUCAUUCUUUAAAAAAAAUAUUGUAUAUUUUUGUUACAACAAUUCUUAUCCUUAUCAAUUUCCUACAAGAACAGAAAAUUUGCUAGAUAUAAAGUGUUCAUAUUCUCUUAGUGAGUUCUUCACUUUUGCUUGGUGCAUAUCACAUUAAAGACUUGUCAUAUCCUAGUAGAGAUUGCUUAUAGGUUAAGAGACUUGCCGGUAAACCUAUAAGCAAUCUCUACCAAGAUGGGACAAAUAACGCUUAAGAGAAGCAUAUUCGAUACAUGUUUCAAGUCUCCAUCUACUCCUGCUGUUAUUUUUAACAAAGGUCCCUACACAAAAUUCAAGAACCCAUUGUUCACCAGACGGUUGGACAAGUUUAGGCAAUACGGAUUGUGGGAACGAUCUGAAGAUUUUUGUCCCAAAUCCCAAUGAUGAUAUCCCAUACACCAUUGGCGUCAGCAAUAACACUCGAGAAUGGUUCUUUGCUCAUGUUACUAGCAAAGUUGGAAAUAGCACAUUCCAACCUACCCACGGCAGAUUAUAUUUCAAUUGGAGAACGUCAGCAGCAAAGGAAAUUACACACUCCAAUUGGCCUUGUCAGCAGCUUCAUACUCUAAUUUACGGCUUCAGUUUAAUUUCAAUAUUUGUCAAAGAGACAGGCGACCUCUAUUCUCGACGGGGACAAUAGCAAAGGACAAUGCCAUUGCUAGACAUGGGAUUCAUGGCUUGUGUAGAUUUUACGUCAUCAACGUGCCAAGCUAUUUGCUUUACAGAGGAAACAAUACAAUCUAUCUUACUUAGUCAAGAAAUAACAGUCAAUAAAUAACUGACCCUUCCUAGGGGUCGUGUAUGAUUCUAUUGGCUUUGGAGAACCACCAAAUUCCAACGACAGAAAGUAGAUUAUAUUCUAGAGGCAUUAAAAGAUGAAAAAUUACCAUGUAUAAAGAAACUGAAGCACCUAUAAGUCGUUUUGUCAUUUUUCUUCUUUUCUUAAAUUGAAGUACGUACAAGUUUAAAAAAUAAAUAAAAAAAUAGACGAUAAAUAUAGUAUAACUUUGUUAAAUUAAUAAUUUUGAUUAAAAACUUUAAUGAAAUAAUAGUUUUUGUCGGUCCCAACUUAGGGCUAGCAUGAUAAAUUAAUAAUUUGAUAAAUUUAUUAGAUAAUAAAUUUUUCAAAAAAAAAUCAUUUUCCUAUAGGACCCAAUUAAUACAUAAAUUAAUUAAUACUUAACUAAUUUAAAACUAAGUACGUAUGAUAUGUUUAUGAUUUUCUUUGUUACACAUAUAUAAUGUUUUAUGCAUUUCAUUAGUCAUUGUUGCUUUCAUUAUACUUUUCAAAUGAGAACUAAUUUUUGUACUCCAUAUAGCUAUGUUAAGAGAGGUAAAGAAGAGAUCGACUUAAUAUAUAACCUCCCAAAAACCUUCUCUAUGUUUUAUCAUGUAAUCGUCAUCGAGCCAAAUAAUUAUCAAAUGAUUGAUUCAAUCAUUCAAAAUCAAAUGAGAAUGGUGUCUUACAGCUUGAUAGAACCACUACAUUAUCUAAUUACACUGCCUUUAUAUUUCAUUAAAAUUCCUAUUAUGAAUGAGAUAUUAUCUUUAUAAAUUAGCAAGUAAUAGAUUUAUUGAUAUACUAAUAUUUGCUAAAUAUAUUUUUCAUAGUUCCAAAAUUAUUAAUUUUUAUCAAGGUUCUAUUCUAUAUUAUUAAAAGUAAGUAACAAAUCUUUGAUGAAGUACUACGAUUUCCGGUAGAAAAAGCUAUGAGACGAAUUUUUGUGGGUUCUUAUAAUGUAUUAGUUCCUCGUGAAUAUGUCCAUACCAAUCAACUAAAAUAAAAAUAAAAAAUUUAAUAUCUAAAUGCUUAUUUAAAAGGUGGUAGUUUGUGUUAGUUUUCUCCGAAAAACCUUAACUAUGUAUUUUAUUUUCUGAAAAUAUUCUUAAAAAUUUCAAAUCUGAAAAAAAAAAUUGAAAGAAUGUUUUGAACCAGAUUAAAAGAAAGAAGUUUACAAUAAUUUUUUCAUAUUUGAAUGUCAUGUAUAUAACGGAAUGAAAUUAUUAUGGGAGAGAAAUUAAAGUCUCACGUAGAAUUUUUGUGUUUGAGAAGACUAAAAAUUUGUAAAAUAUAACUAAAUUAAGAAAAAAAGGUUAUUUUUUCGUAACAUAUAUGUAUUUUUUUUUAUAUUACUUUGUUGUUAACAUUAAACAAAUAAAAAUAUGAUAACCAAAAAAAAUUUAUUAGCAUUUACGCGGCAUGACUAUUUGUUUGAAAUUUGGGAAAGACAACGAAAAACAUGAUGCAAUAUAGCACAGCAUUGUAUUCUCGACUCACACCGAAAGCCAAACAAGGAAAAGUUUUAUUGGAAAAACAGAAAUGUAAUUAACCACGUGACAAUUUAUUUAUUACAUAAUCUUGAAACUGAAAUACGCAAACAAUUGCUAAUCAAGCAGUAGAUGUGAAGUUAAAAUUGGAACAUGUUGUCCGACGGAACAGGAGAGAAGAGCUGAAGCCUAGCCUUGAUGUGGCCAAAUCAAACUGCAGAAGAUUGUCUUCCAAUUGAUGUCCUCCGAUCACAAUUGAAGUCCUAGGAUUCACUCCACCGUCCACAAAACCAAGGCACAUCACGUUGCUUUUGACUUGCACCAUUGAGUUUGCACCAAAAAUUCUCCAAUACACGUCGCUGCUUUGCAAGACAAGAUCGAUCUGAGGCACUGCUGGGCCGACACGUGUGCUGCCAAUGCGGGUAGAAUCAAAGCACGCCCCAAAAGGUGAAACUGAAUCGACUCUAGGCGCAUUAGCCAACUCUUUGGUGAAAGCUUUAACGAAAGCUUCGUAGAUUGAUGACUCCAACACUGUGUAAGGAUGGACGGUGCUGAUCUUGGUUCCGCCGACACCGUUUUUGUCAAUAGAUAGCAAAGAAGUGUUUAACGGGACAACAUGUCCGUUGAUUUUAACGGACUUGACUCCAAUGAAGUAAUCAGUUGAAGGUCGGGGCCUGAAAAGAAGAGUUGCUGUGGACACAGGAUUGAGGAUAAGUGGGGUGUAUAUGAGGGACGUGGAAACGUCAACACCAGGGAGCAUCACAUAAGGCCCGUCGCCAAAGAAGACAGCACCGUUAGCUUUGGUAGAAGAGCUCAAGCAAAUGGCAAAUUUUCUAGGAAAGCUGAAAGCAGAAGAGAACAGAGAUGGAAGUGAAAUUGAGUUUCUUCCAAGGCCAGCCAUGCCCCUAACACCGUUAGCCAGAUCUGUCAAAUGAAACCUAUCGGCACACACAAAGAGGAGCUUAGGCACCGAAACAACUCUACCCGGGUUCUUCCCGUUAGUAGACUGGAUAGACGCGACAUCCAUGGACAACGGGCCAUUGAAACUAAUGCCAUUUAUAGUGUUAUCCGGUAAGAGAUUGCAGGUAUUGUUGUUGCAGCCUGGCCUAGGUUGAGAAUCAGAGCAAUCCCAACAAAAUGGAGCAUUAGCAAGAGAGCAUGGAGCGGAGUGGCAAGGGGGAGAUGUGAAGGAAGAUGACUCAUAAUCUUCCAAACAAACCACCCAGAGAAACUGACCACCGAGAUCAAGGGUAUAUUUCACAGGCACAAGUGGGGUUCUUUGGUUGAUUUGAGUGAGGUAUUGGAGAGUUGAUGCAUCUUUGGUUACAGGAAGAAUUAAUGCUUUUGGUCUAAAAGAUGUUUGGGCUAUGCAGGGAGAGAUGAUCACGGAAAGAACAAGUGAGCAAAAGAGAAGAUAAUUGUAAGAGAGAGUCAUAUCUUUUGUUCUGAGUGCUACGUUGUGGAUAGAGUACUGAGCAGCCAUUAUAUUAGAUUUGUGAACGCGUUGAUGCUUUUGUCCACGACUAAAUCCAAUUUAUUCAUCCAUUCGGUGCAGACAGUCUGUAUUUGAAAAAUACACGAGUUGACAAGUCAAAACAAUGGGGCUGCUAACAACCAAUGGACUAAUUUCUAAAAUUAGAAUAAAUAUAGUAUUAUAGUAUAUAUAUAUAUAUACACACACACAUUUAUUUUAAAGAACCAGAUACAAUUGGUGGCUAUAUAAAAUUCAAUUACACAUGUUAUACAUGAAUUAACCAAUUAUAAUACAUCUAAUAUAUCAUAAAAAUUCCUUCUAAGAAAUUGAGUAGAGGUAUUGAUGGGUAGAAUGGAUUCUCCUUUAAAAUGUAUGAAAGUAGAAAUGUAAACUGUAUCAUGGUAGAUUUAAUUUAAAUUUUUAAUCGUAAACAAAAAUUGUAAUACCCAAAAUAUUUAUUUUUUAAAAAAAAAAAAGGCUCAACCGUGGAUAAUCAAUGACUAGCCAUCCCUAAAUCAAUGACUUGGGCCGGUUUCUUUUGGAUCAACUUCAGAAUAGCCCUAGUCUGCUUCUUAAAAAAGGACAAAAAGCUAAGAGUUAUUCUAUUUCCACCCCCUAAAAACACUUAUAAAACCCUCUUUGUUAAUGUUAAUUACAAAAGUAUCCCCGCACAUUUAUUUUUUAGAAUUCUCGAGCCAUUCACUCUCUCCACGCAGUAGCACAAUAAUGCUGCAUUUACCAAACUGUAAUCAGAAUGAGCUGUAAUCGGAAUAGGUAAGAAUGAGAAUAGACUAAAGUUAGAAUGAAAAAUGAGAAUUAAAAUAAAUUAUUUUCUUGAACUAUAGGAAUCGAAAUCGGAAUAAAUUACAUUGUUACAAAUUACUAACAAGUCCUUAAUUAUUGUUAAUAAUAAUAAUAAUGAAAUUAUUGACAAUACUAAUAAUAAUUAAUAAAUUUUAAAUAAUAUUAAUAUUAUUGUCAUUAAUGGCAGUAAUAAUAACAAUUAAAAUAAUAAAAUUAAUAAAUAAUAAUAAUUAAUUAUUGUUAUGAUUUAAUUUCAUUAUUAUUAUAUUAAUGUUAUUUAAAAUAUAUUAUUUUAAUUAAUUUCAUUAUUAUUAUUAAAUAAUGAAGGACCUACUUGCGAAUUAUACAAACUUCAAUUUUUUUAAAAAAAAAAAAUUGGUUACGAGAAGAAUUAAUGCUUUUGGUCCAAAAAAAAUUGGUUACGAGAAGAAUUAAUGCUCUUGGUAGAUAUAAUUUAAAUUUCUAAUUGUAAACAAAAAUUGUAAUACCCAAAAUAUUUAUAAAAAAAGUUCAACCAUGGAUAAUUAAUGACUUGGGCCGGUUUCUUUUGGAUCAACUUGAGAAUAGCCCUAGUCUGCUUCUUAAAAAAGGGCAUAAACGCUAAAGCUAAGAUUGAUUCUAUUUCCACCCCUUAGAAACACUUAUAAAACCCUCUUUGUUUAUUUUAAUUACAAAGGUAUCCCUGCACAUUUAUUUUUGAGAAUUCCCGAGCCAUUCGCUCUCUUCUCACGGAGUCACGGUAGCACAAUAAAUCUUAAUUUCCUCUCUAUAUGACCUUAAUUUUCUCUCCUUAUAAAUUUCUCGACAAAUUUUUUUAUUUUUAUUUUUAUGUGUCCUAUAAUAUAAAUUAUUUGAGCACUUUUUCAUACCUUGUUUCAAAUCAUUUUCCUUCAUUUUCAUUUCUCAACCAAAUCUCAUAAGAUCUUGACUUUGUCUCUUUUAAAGAGAAUUUAACAUUCACCCUUUAACCAAACUUUUUUAAAAUUAAUAUACUUUCUUGCGUGAAUUGUUAUAAUUUUAUUGCAGUUUGGAUUGUUUCCUAUAAUCUAAGAAGCACUAUGCUCUCGAUUCUCUUCCCUUUCCAGAAACUUAAAGUUUCAAAUGUAUAUAUGUUUCAAUGUGCCUCUUUUUUUUUUUGGGUGGGGGGUUCAUAUGUUUGUAUCAAGAUUUCUUACCCUAAUGUACCUAAAUAACUAUGAUUUUUUUUCAUGAAAAUAAACAUGAAAUAGUUUAGCUAUACGGUCUCAUAUUCAUACCGAAUGUUUUUCAGUCGGUUAACACUGAACUUUUUUUUUUUCCUCCUUAGUUCACAUUGGAUUAAAGGGUUAACGUGGAAAUUAAAAAUUAGUUGGUAGCUCGUUAGGUGGAGUUGGUAACUUCGAAUAAUGGGUUCAUUUUCUCAUCACUUGAGAAACCAAAUCCUAUUUUUUUUUAUUCUUUGAUUAAUUUUACUUAAACUUGGCUUUGAUGCAUAUCAAAACCUGUCCAACUUACUCCACCAUAACCGAAGACUGAGUGUGCACUCAACCCACGGACUUGGUGCGUAAUCGCUUUGUUACCGAAACUUAACAAAUUGAAGACUUACUUUGGAUUACCAUUACAAUAUAUUUUUAUGAGAUCAGAAUUCUCCUAUUUGAUUUUUUUCCCUGAGCAAAAGAAAAAUGGUGCUCAGUGAUGAAUGGAUAAGAAUAGAGAAAUAAAUUAAAUAUUAAUUAUUUAAUAUACUUAAAAGCAUGCUGGCCGUAAUUAUUAAAAUUUUACAAGAGGUCAAAUCAUGUAUAACUCUAAUUCAUUUCUAUAACGUAUAAAUAUAAGAUACUAUUAAUAUAAUAUAAUAUCUAUUUAUAAUACUCUUUGAUCCCGCGAUGGAGGUUCAACUCAUUUCAUACAUGUAUUGUGGAAAUUAGUUUUCUUUAAAUUAUUUAACAGUAGAUUUAAUUAUUUUUUACUCAGAUAUUCAUAACUUUCUUAUCACAUUUUUUACCUUAGAUAUUGUAAUGAAAUUAAAAAAUAAAAAUAUAUAUUAUAUUCGUUCACUCUAUUGUUGUGUUGUCUUCUCCAUAUCCAUUUUCUUGCCACCUUCUUUAAUGGAAAAAUUAAUGGAGCAUUAUGGUCCACCGUUUCACUAAAAAGAAAAAAAGUCUCUCUCUCUCUUUCUCUCUCUUCGUUUACAUUAUACAACUCAUGAAUUUUUCUUAAUAUGUGUGGUGCUGAGACAUCAAGAGGGAUUAUGAUUCUCUCCUAAUCUGAUCAUGUGCUGAGCAAAUAACUCAAUUACUGAUUGGUUAUUAAUAAAUAAAUAAAAGUUAAAUCUUACUCAUACACUACCACUAAAAAACACAUGACAAAAUAUCAUUAAAAACUCAGUAAUACUCAGAUCAUGAGAGUAUCAUAUUCCUCAAAUAAGACCAGGCUGGUUUACUGUGCUUAAGUUUGUGCAUUCACAUGAAUGCUACUGAAAGCUCUAUCUCUAUGAGAAAUAUGUCAAUGGGGCUUUACUUUAGCUGUAUUGCCCAUAUUUGCCUUAAUCUGAAAGCAACCCACAACUAAAACAAUUAAAUCGAUAAUUAUUUAAUCAUUCCAGAACAUCAAACCUUUUACUUUUAAUUGCCAGGUUUUGAGUUUUUGAUGAUUCAUAUUUUUCCUGCUUAACUUCAAAUUAACUUAUCAUUCAAAAUCUAGCGAUUCAGAAAGGCACGUACGUUUGUUUGUUGUGUGAAGACAUUUUGCAGAGUUGAAAUGAAAAUCAUUAGUGAAUAGAAUAAUAGAACAUAACAUUAGUAAUAAUAGCCAACGAAAGCUGCCAAUUAUGUUUUACCAAUCAUACCGUUAUUGCAAGAACGUAAAAACUUGGCCUUCAUUAGCCCACACCUAACGCAUUAUCGAUUGAUUUUUUUUUUCCCCUAAACAUUUGGAGUCCAUGAAAAUUAGUUUUGUGAUUUUAGCUACUCUCUGGGCAAACUUAAAAAUACCCAAAUCAUCUAACUGUAUAAUAAUAAUAAUAAUAAUAAUAAUAAUAAAAGGUCCAUUCAAAGGCCAAACGCACGCUAAAAUACCCAAGUCAUUAGUCAUAUAGACAACAAAAGGAAAUAAGAUUUUCUACUGAAAAUGAAGCCUAAAUCCAAUUACAAAGAAAAUGAUAGAUGGAUGCUUUUAGUUGAAUUCACGUUGACAACAAAACUGGCCCUUCGUUUUCCUACAUUAUUAUUCAUAGAAUAGAAAUCUAAUUUAGUGGCAUGCAGUCAGUGUCAUAUGUACAAUCAUACAUCAUAAUUUAUGUGACUAUGCGCACUAAAUUAUAGUCACAUAAAUUAUGUCUGAAAAAAAAAUUAAAAACUGAGUAUCGCCAACGAAAUCAAUUAUUUAUUAAUUAUUUUAACCACCGAAAUAACGAGGGCAAAGCCUUCUUAUUCUGUGUGCUUUCACAAGAUGUCCGGAACAAAACAUCUCAUGUGAUUCCCAAGCGACCAAGCGUGUGUCCCGAACCACCGGGCACAAAACAAUUUGUUGAUAUUACGCAAAAUGACAUUAUUGCCCUCCACCCCACUCGCCGACUGUUCGUUGUUUAUCAAUAGCCUUUUGUCGGUGCCGAUUCAGAACGUCACAGCAUUUUCGUUACGGUCCAGGGUAUUAUUGUCAAUACACAAUGCUUGUUCUUGUCCUCCUGGGCCCUGGCUUUUACGUUUGUUAAUAGGAUUCUCUCCUUCUUUCCCUCGGUCUCUAUUCCCCUCUCCCAUAGGAAAUAGCUACAAGAAAUUUUUAUUUUUUAUUUUUAAAUUUAAGUGAAUUUAGUUAAUUUUAGAAGUACUUUAAUGAAUCUGGAUUGGAUCCGAGAAUAUUUACGACGGCAAAUACGAAAAUAGUUAAUCAAAUAUGUUAAACAAAUUAACACAAAAUUUAAAGUCUAUCAAUCCGUAAUCAAUGAGAAUUAAAAGGUCCGUAUAUAAACGCGGGGGAAAGCAUCUUAUUUUGCAGUCCAUAAAUUUCGGAAAUACUUUAAAUCCCACCAUAAUACAACUAACUGAGAAGAUGGCUCCUUUUUAACUGUCUUCCCACAGCAAUCAAUUCGUCAAUCUCUGCGCUCUCUCCUUUUUGACAGCUCAAAGCCGAACUUCAAUUCAUACAUACCCACACAAAAAGAUAAAAGAAGCCGGGAAAACAAAAAGUAAUCUUUGUUUUUGUUGUUUCUCAUAUCAUAACACCUCUCUCAAAGACUCAAAAACGCCAAGAACUGGAGCAAAAUUGUAUAGUACCGCAGUAACUCAGUAAGUAUUAUUAUUAUAUAGAUUUUCUCGAGAAAACAAACACUUGGGCAGUAUAAAAUUUUCCUGGGAAUGUGUUUUGUCGUCAAAGUUUUUCUUUUUCUCGUAAAAACAAGUCUAAACUUUUUUUUUUUUUUGUCUUUUUGUUUUGUUUGGUUUGGUUGGUUUACAGAUGCCGGAGAAAGUGGCGCUGUCAUCGUCACCAAAGAAGUGGGUUCUUUCGGGUCCCAUGCAUCAAUGGCGAUUUGGUGUACUAACAGCUCUGGUGUUUAUGGGGGUGGUGGUUGUGUGGAGCAUCGAUGGCUGCACUAUUGGUAACUUUGUUCAAGUUUGGAAUCUGAAGCAAGAUCAUUUUGUACCUGUUAGAGCCAAUGCCACUGUUGAUGUAGCGCAAAUCCAGUUAAAUCUUACUGUAAACACCAGCAAUGUUCAAGAUUUACCGACCCAAAAGGAAAAGCCUCAACUAAAUGAUGUAAAAAACUUCACUUCCAAUGAUUCGCCCAGUUUGAAUCUGACUCACUUGAACCAAACGAGUGUGGCGAGUUCUAUUUCCAAGAAUUCAAGCAAGGUAGCUCAACAGAAUCCACUGCAGCAAAAGCCUAGUGGGGCUUUGCCAAAUCGGAGUGAGAGUCCAGUUUUAGAAAGUUUGAAGUGGGUUUCAGUUGAUUUGGAGCCUAACUUGAGUACAAAUCUGCUGGCGCGUUGGUUGGCUCCGGGUGGGGAGCCUUGUAGAGAUUCGAGGACGGUGGAGAUUGCAAUUCAUGGCCUUGAUGGAGGGAAACUGAUGGAGUUGUCGGCUGGAGACAUUCAUGAAUUUCACUUUCAAGCAUUGGGUGAGUCUGGGAAUCCUAGAUGUGUUGGCGGGGAUUACUUUGAGACUGAUCUCUCGGGGGAGUCAUGGAAAUCUCGCCCCGUAGUCAAAGAUUUUGGCAAUGGUACUUACUUGCUUUCGCUGCAGGUUCAUCCUGAUUUCGUUGGUGAUUAUAAUCUAACCGUGAUUUUGCUCUUUAGACAUUUUGAGGGUCUCAAGUUUUCACCAGUUAGGUUUGUUUAUGAUAGGGAAUUAAGGCAUAUACCGAUUAGGUUCUUUAGAAGUAAAGCUCAGUUGCCUGAGAUAAAAGUUUGUCAAAAAUCUGAUUUUAAUAGAGAUAUUUGGUCUGGAAGGUGGACAAGACAUGGAAAGAAUGAUGAUUGUCAAAUUAGCGCUGACGGUAGGUAUAGGUGCCUGGCUCGGGAUUUUCCAUGUCGAAAUCCUUGGUGUUAUGGUUCAUUGGGGUCGAUAGAGAGUAAUGGUUGGGUAUACUCUAGCCACUGUUCGUUUAGGAUGUUUUCAGCUGAUUCUGCAUGGAAUUGUUUGAAAAAUAGGUGGAUUUUCUUCUGGGGUGAUUCGAAUCAUGUUGACACGAUAAGAAACAUGCUCAAUUUUGUCUUGGAUUUGCCUGAUAUAAAAGCUGUUCCUAGGAGAUUUGAUCUUAAUUUUUCAAACCCCAAAGACCCUUCUCAAUCAGUUCGAAUCACAAGCAUUUUCAAUGGUCACUGGAAUGACACGCUAAAUUAUCAAGGGUUGGAUUCUUUGAAAGAUGAAGGGUUUAGGAAUUUGGUAAAGAAAUACUUCUCGGAGGAUACAGUUCCAGACACAGUGAUCAUGAACUCUGGCUUGCAUGAUGGCGUUCACUUUUCUAACAUAAGAGCAUUCAUUAAAUCAGCCAAUUCUGCUGCUUCAUUUUGGAAAGAAGUUAUGGAGUCAAUAAGACGGAGGGGAUUGGUGGUGCCGCAGAUUUUCUACCGGACCACGGUGGCAACUGGUGGGUAUGCACGAUCACUGGCGUUUAAUCCUAGUAAGAUGGAGGCAUUUAAUGGGGUGUUAUUAGACAAGUUGAGGCAGGCUGGGGUGGUUUCCGGUGUGAUUGAUAAUUUUGAUAUGACUUUUCCAUGGCAUUUUGAUAACCGCUGUAAUGAUGGUGUACAUUAUGGCAGAGCUCCAUUGAAGAUGAAGUGGAGGGACGGUCAAAUCGGCCACCAGUAUUUUGUAGACCUCAUGUUAGUUCAUGUGCUGCUCAAUGCCCUAUGUGCACAAUCGUAGCAUUUGAAUCCGAUGUAACUGAGACAUUUAGGAGGUUUUCAUGGAGUAGCACCUGGAUUGCUGCAUUUUAUGACACGCUACAGAAUUUCUGGAAACUCUAGCCAUUGCUAUAGAGUAGGCAUGGUUUCCAGUUGUAAGGCGUGGAGAGACAACUUACCUGGUGUGCAAUGUGCUGGAGACAAAUUUGUGAGGCAGUUAGCUCCAUAUACAUUUUGAUUCUUAUUCACUGCUAGACUAGGAUUGGCAUUCAUUAUUUGUUUAUAGAUUUGUUACCAUGUAUGGUUUUUGAUUCAUUAAGUUCUUAUGCUUGUAGAUUAUGAAAGAUCCUUGAAGUACAAAUAUGUCAGUGAAUAUUGUUUAUAUCAAGUAGUAUAUCCAUUGCAUAUAUGUGGAGAAGGACUGAAAUCUGUACUGCAUUUAACUAUGUGAUGUUGUACUUUUAUAAAUUGUAUUUUAAAUAAUUUUUUGGGUUGUUAAGUGCUGUAGUUCUGCUGUUAAUUGUAUGGAAUCUUAAAAUCUUAGCGCACAGCUAUGAUUUCACAAGAACAAGAAGCAUAUGUCUCUUAGAAUAUUCUGAACUUUGUUGUUUCAUGCUUGUGAUGCAUCCUCAAUAUUCUCCGUAGCAUUGGGAAAAUCGCGAGCGUAAUUCCAAUUAGCAUCUGUGUCUCAAUUACGAAAGCCUUCUUAACGGAGUGUUCAAUGAGCCUAAACUUAUUUUGUACACCACAUUUCAGUAUUAUAUUUGCCGAAUCAUUAGAUACAUAUUAAGUUGUUGGGGAGAACUCGCUGCUUCUCAGCGGCAGCAGUAAAAAUGUUCAGAAUUUAAUAGCUCUAGAUGGAUUAUUUAUUACACUGGCAACUUUUAUAACUGUUUACGGCUUGUUAUUGAUGAGGCAAAUUGUGUGUUGAUAUGGUGCAUUCUUGUUCCUUUUACAUUCUUAUUGGGUUGGACUAAGUCUAUUACACCGCAGCCUUGAUGUAUUGACCCGUUUUUAAAUCUAAACAAGAUGAAAUCUACCCUCGUUCAGAAAAGAUCCCUCAUGGGCUUAGUGUAUUUCACGUUAAAAUGUGAGGAGUUUAAUUUUUGGCAUCCCAGGCAUUGGUAGAGAGAGUACCUUUAGGCUUUAGCACCAAAGAAAGCAGCGUCAAAAGAUGGACAUCAUAUAAAUUUGGUGCGGAAAUGGCUGUUUUUACGCCUUUUUUAAAAAAGUUUCUUCUUUAAUUCCCUUCCCCUUUUUGGUAGAAGUGAAAGUCUCUACUUUUCAACAGGAACGUAAUGAAAGUCGUUAGUAGUAAAUGGCCACUAUGAAUUAGCUUGACAUAGUUGUUCACAAAUUUGAUUAAGCUUUGCACCACCUAAAGCAGCAUGGCUACAUAGCUCCGACAGUCCCACACUAACCUAACUGUUUCUUGAACCCAAACCUGAUCCAUGCAAUUGUAGUUUUCUAGAGUUAUAAUUUUCUUUAGAAAAAAAAAAUAUGUGUGUGUCUAUUACAUUUAUAUUACAAGGGUCUAACAGGAGCUUAAAAUCAUAUAACUAUAAUUAUAAUAAAUCAGAAAUUUAUAUUUUAUAAAUGCGAGAUUGACCAUACACUUAGAAAAAAUAUAUAUAAGGAAGAGUGAGUUUCCAUGAAACUUAAAUUGUUACCGUUCAAGAUAAAUGAAAGAGUGCUUUACUUACACAUAUGCGGUGAUUAAGAGAUGAAUUUUACUACAGGGGUAUCUUAGAAGCAUAGUUAAGUUAUUUUUAUGAGUUAAUUCUUUGUAGAUAAGAGUCUCAAAAGAAUUUGUAUCAAUUGAUUUUGACACUUCGAAAAGUUAAAUAUAUUUAUCCUAGCGUAUAUCUUUCAAAAAAUACAAUGAUCUUUUUUUUACUCUUUAAAGAGUUGUUGUACUCAUUAAGGCUUCGUGACAAGCAAUGAUUUCGAAGGAUGACUUGGAAGUAACGGCAAUUACUCUUCCUUAGAAAAUGCCAUAAAAGUGAAGUGCAAAAAUUUUAAGCUAUUUCUCACAGGUUGCAGUGUUACACGUAGGUACAAAAUUACAAAUAUUUGUUGUACAUGCAUGUAAGAUACACUCUCUUCACAUGAAUAGUGUGUGGGUUCCACACAUAUACUAUUUAUGUGAGGGAAAUGUAUCUUACAUGCAUGUAAGAUAGAGAUUGCCUUUUAUUUGUUUCCUCUGCUUUCACUGCCCAGGAUUAAAUAGAUGCUAACUUGGGCCCAUCAUUAGCAGAAAGUGGGCCAAACAAAAAGCCCAAAUUACCAGUGUUAGGCUCAUGAGAAGAACGGGUGAACUCAAAUAACAUUGGGGUGUAUUACAUAAAUGGGAGCCAUCAAUUAAAUGUUAACAACUCUGCAUACAUAAAUUAGCAAGUCAAUGAAGUGAAAAAUCUAUUAUAAUGAGGGAUGAAAACGUAAAUUCAACUAAUAAUUUGCUUCUAAUAAAGUAACGAAAGGUCAUCUCGCACGCUACUGAAACAAAACUGGUUCUGCUCUUUUAACCAAAACACACUGCGAGCAUCACACACGUUUUGUUUGUUGGAUUGAUGGGAUAAAAUCACAGAACAAUAAAAAGAAAAAUAAAAUAAAAUAAAAUAAAAUAACCAGUUGCAGUUUCAGUUGUUGUUGGAGCGGUGGCGCGUAAAAGAGUGUUUUGUGAGUUAAAAUCUGGCAAAUUUAGGGGGAUUGAGAGCUCGCUUGUCGUUGAAGCAAGCAAACUCCGACUUUGGUGACGACGACGAAGAGUGCAGGCCUUGGCGUCGGAGAUUAUCCAUGGCCUUCACCUGGGGCUCUGCUCUUCGGAUCACGCUUUUGAUUCUCCUCGUUGCCGCUGUCGUCACCGCCUGCUUCACCCUCCCUGUCGAGAAGGUUUCGUUUUUUAAUCUUUUUUUUCUUGGCGGUUUUAUUUGGUUACUUUUGAUUGGGUUUUUGGUGAUUUUUUAUUAUUUGGUUUUUGGGUUUUCAUUCAAAUUCAUUUGCUUUUUUGUUUCCAUUUGAUUAAUGGAUCGGUGAUUAUUUUUAGUGUUUAGUGACAACAGAUCAGUUGUAGGGGAUUUAGGGUUUUGGAUUUAGGUUUCAGGGAUGCAUUUUGACAUUACAUGUAAUUUCUUUAAUUAAACCCUCUAUUCAUGAGAAUUGUAAUGCUAGAUUCUCCCUUCAAAUUGCAGAUUGUGACUAUGUGUUGCCAUUUUUUAAUGGUUUAUUGCAUUAGUUCUAUGAGUUUCUUGGCUGCAAUAAAAGGGUUCUGAACUGGAUCUUGAACCUGAAGCAUUUCGAUGCCUUGAGUUUUCUGCCUGCUAAGUGUAUUUUUUGAGCAGCCUCCAGGCUUUUUUGUUGAAGAAAGUGCUGUGUCUUGCAGAUAUUGAAGGACUUUUUAACAUGGGUUGAUCAAGACCUUGGACCUUGGGGUCCACUUGUGUUGUGAGUUAAUUGCAACUCUUCCGUGUUCAAUGAUUUACUUGUUUACUUAAAUGUCCUUUUUUCUUUUCCCCUUAUUCUUAUUUCUGAUAUGACUUAAUGCUGAGAUGUUUUGACUUAGUAAGAUUUUCUAUGGUUAUAUGCAGGGCUGUUGCAUACAUCCCUCUGACAAUUUUAGCAGUUCCAGCAUCAGUGCUUACCGUAAGCAAUAAUCUCUUCUGUUAAUUUAGCUAGCCUUACUACCUAUCCUUAGUUACUCAACACACAACGCUAAUGCAAAUGUGUAUGGCACUUAAGUUAAUGUGUUUAUCUUAUAUAGGAUGAAAAAAAUCCUCUGAUCAUUUUUUGAAGUGACCUAUACUUGAGUAUGAUGUGGGACGUUAUUUUAGGAUUCUAGAAUUUAAUUAUUUUAGGUCUUUGAUAUUUUCUACUUUAAUUAGGGUCAGUGUCUUAGUCUUUUAUUUCUAUUACAAUUGUUAUUUAGUUUCUCUUUUUAAGUUAACUUAGGGAAGUAGUUUACUCUAUCAUAAAUAGAGGGGUCUUGUUAUUAUUUUCAUAAAUUCAACCUUUGCUUAGUAAAAAACCCAACUCUUUUACCAUUUCCUUUGGGAUUAUCUGUCAAAAUCUCCCUUUUAAAGUCGUUUAGAUUAUAACGUCAUCUAAUAUCGGUUGACGCGUUAUUUAAAAAAAAUCUUGUUGAGUCAUUUGGGUUAGAACGAGAUCUAAUCAUGUUUCGAUUAGAGUAUAACCUAAUCACAUUGGUUUGGUAUGGUACUAUAAUGAUAUCUAGUGUUUUUCUACCGUAUCAAUUCGCGUUUGCUAUGCCACUCCAUCAAAAUAUGCAUGGUUCUAUCAGGUGUUAGAAAUGAACCUAAAUUAUGUUUCGAGAAGAACUAUGUCAUGUCCACAUUAAUAUAUCAAAGGGAAUUGGCAUGUAUAAUAUGUUUUCACUUUUCUGAAAUGAAAAUGUUCUAUCUGCCACAAAAUUUUAUUGUUUAAUGUCGAUAAAUAAACAAUCUAGUAACCAAGGAACCAUGGGCAUUCUCUUCAAAGGCAUUUGAAAAAGUAAAUAACAGUUAAAACCUUUCAGCUAAGCUUUCUCCAAGGUUUUAAUUCCUUGAAAAAGUUAUAAUUUUCUUUUCCCCAAAUUAAAUAUUUUAUUCGUACUUGGAUGUAAUUAUGAUCUUUGUAAUGUACUAUUCUGUUUCUUGGAUUGGCCUAACUACUUUCUUUGUGUCUGGGUCAUACAAAUUAUUGUGAAAAUUUAGAUCUUAUGAACUUCUUCUUGUGAAGGGAUCACUAGCCUUUCAACCAUUUAGGCCUUGGUAUUUGAGUCAUAAACCUCUGUUUUAGAGGAAAUGAUGCUGCAUGAUUGCAGCUAUUGCAGAAACUUGAGCAGCAAUUUUAUGUCCUGCUCCUCAGUUCUUGAAUAAUGUAGAUACCUUUAUAAUAUAUAAAUGCAACCUUAUGUGGUACUUGGAAUCCUCCUUUCAGCUUGGUGGUGGUUAUCUUUUUGGGUUACCUGUGGGCUUCGUUGCUGAUUCUAUUGGAGCAACUAUUGGUGCAGGGGCUGCAUUUCUUCUUGGCCGAACUGUGAGUUUAUGAAUUCUUAUGAUGUUAUAUGCAUCACAAAUUCACAAUUUUGCACUUCUAGAUUGAUAUACAUGUUGACAACGAAAUCUAUAUUUACUGGUUCUCUAAUCAUUAUUUACUGAUGAUAGUGAUAGAUUGUUGCCUAAUCAGUCUAUAGCACAUUUGUUUUCCUUCAACAUCUUUUUUUUUUUGGAGAGCUUGAGUUGUGUAUUUGAUAUUGAUUAUGAUUUGUAUUUAAUGUAUCUUAUUCGUGAAUACUUUUCCAGAUUGGUAAACCAUUUGUUAUUUCUAAGUUAAAGGAUUAUCCGCAAUUCCGUUCUGUUGCCCUUGCUAUCCGGAGAUCUGGUUUUAAGGUUUGUGUGCUUUUUAUUGGAUAUCUGGAACUAAAUCUAUGCUUGUGAUCUAUUUUAUUAUCAGAGUUUUGCUAUUUUAAUUAUUAUGUUGCCUAUUUUUCACAAGUAGCUUAUAUUCACAGGAAGGCAAGUAGGUUUAGAAGGCAAGCAGGUUUAGUGGAAUUAUAUAUAUCUCAUUACUAUUUAGUGUCGUAGUGAAUCCUAACCUUAAAUUAGAAUGGAUACAAGUAAUAUCCUUAGUGUUACUAAUUAGAUAUUGAAAUAAUGAUAUGGACAAGAUUUAAAUCAAUGGUAAAAAUAGUGAAUAUCUGGAACUUUGGUGUCUCUUUCUAUAAAUUCUGCACCUGAAGUGCUGGACUCAGAGCUAGAAUCACAAUCUAAAUGUCAAUGUAAUGGCUGUUUGAAAGGGUUUGUCUAUAUAGUCCUGCUGUAACUAAGAAAGGCUUUCUCUACACAGUCCUGCUGUGACUAAGAUUCCGCCUUUUACUAUUAGACAGUUAACAGUUAUGCAGUAAUUUUUAUUCUUUAUAUGUGUGUGAACUGCUGGAUAUUUAACCUGCACUUUCUUAACUUGGUUAACAGAUAGUUUUGCUGCUUCGGCUUGUUCCCUUGCUCCCAUUUAACAUGUUGAAUUACCUCUUGUCCGUGACCCCUGUUCCACUCUUGGAGUACAUGCUAGCUUCCUGGAUUGGAAUGAUGGUAUCUUCUUCCUUAUAGUAUUUACUCUUUAGUUAUAUCGAAUGAUGUGAUGUGUUAAACAAUACUUUAAUUUAUCACAAAUUUUGGAUGUAAAUUUGGCUGCUAAUUAUUUUUCAUCUCUUUAUCUAAUAUGCAGUGUGUAAAAUCUUUGUUCUUGCUUUUGUGUGUGUUAUUGGGCAUCAUAUGCUAGAGUUCAGCUUGCUAAUGUUGGCAUGAUCCAGGUGCAUGGCAUUUUGUUAGCAUUUUAGUGGACCUUGGACGGAACCCUAACCCUUUAUUUCCGAAUUAUUGAACCCUAACCAGUUGGUAUUAUAAGGUGUAUGAAAAUAAUUUGCAAUCUAGAUUUUGGUGGAUAUAUGGGUUGAUUCAGUUCUGUAGCCAUCUAUUUUUUAAACGUCAGAAAUGAAUGGAGAUGCUGCUGUACCGUACAUCCAAAAAAAAAAAGCUCAAUUACCUUUCUCUUUACUAUCUAUAUAUGGUGGUGCACAGCAGAGGUGAAAUUUCAGGCUUUUCUCUAAUCUUCAUAAUAGUUAAUUACAAGAUUUAUUUGAAUUUUAAGGAACAAGUGCUUUCUGCUUAUUGCCUUGAAGAUAUGUGUACAUGGAUGUGUUUCUUCCUCUGUUUGCAUGUGCUUGCUACUUUGCUUGCUUAAGAGUUUUUUUUUUUUGUUCUCCUUAUUUGUUCAGAUUUCAGCUGAGUAACGUCUAUUGUGGUUUCUGUUACAGCCAAUAACUCUUGCAUUAGUAUAUGUUGGAACGACUCUCAAGGAUCUUUCUGAUGUGACACAUGGAUGGAAUGAGUUCUCAAAAACUCGUUGGGUAAGUCUUUUCAGCCUUAUACUUUUUCAGGUUUACUAACAGAUUUUCAGAUUUUGAUUAUAUUGGCUCCUUCCCUGCUGUGCAAUAGUUUUCUUUUUGAUAGUCCAAUUGUGCCAGAGUGGUUCAUUAUUUUAUUUUUCAUGAAUCAAGGAUAUGUUGAUGCUUGUUUUAUCUUGCCAUCUUAUGUUCUGAUUUAUAUGUAUUAUCCAUUGCUCGGUGCAGGCUUUUCUCAUCUUUGGCCUUGUGGUAUCUGGUAAGUUGAAAUAACCUGCAGACAUGCUAAAGAGACCUUUUUUGGGCUUUUUACGCUUUCACUUGCCAAAGUCAUCUGCUACAAAUAAAAAUUAUUCUCCUAAGUUUGAUCCUUUAUUCAGUUGGAGGAAAUAAUAUGAAAUAAAUGCACACGUUAAGUUGGAUAUGAUUUGAUAUAUUUUUCCUAAGGCGAACAUACUAGAUGAGCGAAAAAUUAUGAAUCUUUCUAUUACUGAUAGUGUUUUUCUUCCAUUUAUGAAGGAAACCGUAUUCAGUUUUAGUACUUUGACAUUUGAGGUUGACUUUUGGCUAUAACAUACUAACUGCAAGAUAAAAAGGAAGAGAUGAGAACAUAAAUAAAUAAGUUUAUUCUGAAGCAUAGUUCUCUGUAGUUUCAGAGCUUUCAGCCUCUCUUACCAUCGAUCUUGCCUGCUUAAAACUCUCUGUUUGUAGGUGAAGAGUUGGAAUUUAAAAUGAACUGCAUUAGAUUAUAUACGGCUAUUGACUCUCAAAAUAUUCAGAAAAAAGAAAUGUAAAUAGAGGAAAAUAAUCUCAAAUUGUGUUUAAGCAAUUUUUCUUGUCUAAAAUAGUCUAUUUUCUGGAUAUGUGCAGUAAUUUUAAUGGUUUGUGUCACCAAAGUCGCCAAAGCUGCUUUGGACAAAGCUUUGGCCGAAAAUGAGGAUAUAGAUGCCAUUCUGGGCUCACCAGAGUUGCCAAUUAUGGCUGAACAACCAGUGGAUCUCAACCAACCUCUCAUAAUCAAGAUAGAAGGCAAUGAUGACAGUCAUGAAAAAUAGAUCUUAUAUUUGUUUGUAAAUUCUUUCACCUUUUUUGCAAGUUACAUUCUGCUUAAUGCUUUAAACAUUUGGCAAUUGCCCUUUGUGAUCUGUACAGUUGCAUUACUCCCAAAUGUAGUUUUGGUCCUUUUGGACAGUAGAUGAUUGAUUAAACAACUGAGGAUAUUUUGUUUAAGUGUAGGCUAUUCAAUUAGAAAAUCAAUAAAGUAUACAAUCAAUGAGUUUUUUCUUCACAAUUGCAUCUUGCUUUAGAUUUAUAUCAUAGGAAGCAAUACAAACUGUAAUAUUACUAGCAAUACGUAAUAAUCUCAUUACCUUCAUCCCCUGCUCUCUACUCUCUUUUUGCUUGGAAUAUCUCAUUUCCUGGUUGGAUGGAGCUCUUUGUAUUGUGAAUGGAGUGUUUUCCGGAUUUAUCUUAAUCCUCAUUACUCAUUUCACAUUCCGCCCUGCUGGUUGAUGCGAAUACUAAGCAUAUUCAAAAUUUAAUCUUUCAACAAAUAGAAGACUGUAAAUGGAGAAAUAAUAUUGAGGUUCUUCCGGUUAGUGGCAUCUUUCUCAAUUCAUUUAACUGUCUUUCACUUCCCUUUGAAAAUUGUAAAAAUGAAGGACGACACCAGAGUUUUAUUUGCUGCUGAAAAUAAUGCGGUUGUUAGAUAUGAGCUGAUAGUGUGGGUCCUGCGGAGGUUGGUGAUAGACUAACAGUUAAAUUGGCAGAAAAUCUAUAGCACUUUGGUGAAUACUGAGUUCCAUUGCCGAUGCCACAGCUGUGAUUGAAAGUAUUGAAUGUUAUGUGUUUUCAGAACAUCACUUAUAAAGACAUUGCUCUGGUCUUCAAUUUGAUCCAAAUGAUUCCAAUUGACCUCAUUUUGAGCAACGGAAAAUGCGGCCAUGACCCACCAAUCAGAAUGAGAUGGUGCGGUCCAAAAUGAUGUGCACUUUGGCACUUUGUUAAAGUUGCAGCUAGAUUUCUGGGGAGAAAAAGGUUAUGGUUCGAAACUUGUAUAAAAAUAAUUCCAAUGAUGAAAGGUGAAGCAAAAUCAUCUCAUCCUUCAUCAUGAAUCUUUGAAUAGAUUUUGGGGACUAUUGGUAUCCUUUUUCCUUCCCAAUCAAACUUGGGAAAAGCCAUUUGCUGGCAUUUCAUUAAUUUAUGUUGCUACUUUGUGUUGAAAUUUGGGGGGUGCUGGGGACCAUACCAACUCUUUAGUAAUUCUAUGGUGCUACUCUUUGUAUUAGUUUUAUGUGUUCUCAUUCAUUACGAUUGCAGAAACCAUAAAUCUUUUUGAUUGAGCACAACCUGAUGAUAACAGCCAUUGAUUAAGUAUAAAAGCUAUAGAGACUCGAAGGCAUUGCUGAGUGUCUAUAAAUGCUUUAACUAAAGCUAAAUUGGUGAAAUGAUCUUUUAUUUGUAAAAGAAUGCCUGUGCUUUCAAAGUUGAAGGUAAUUAAAAGCAUCGAGUCCUGCACGGGAAAAAUACCAGGAUUUGGCAUUUUUCCUUUUGGUGGCUGCUUUGAUGGAUGUCGUGAUCAUACUCAGGCAUCGGGAUUCGGGACAAGAAUCUGGAACCUGAGUGACAGGCCCGUGGAGUUGCAGGUAAGGGUGGGAUCAAUACUAAAGAAAGUGCACACUCUGAAGCCGGGCUCCUCAAAGAGGCUGAAAUGCAAGAGCAUAUACAAGGCUUACAUGCCUGGUAGAAACGGCAAUAAUAGCACUAAUGGAGGCAUGAAGAGCUUGCUAUACUACUAUGAUGAGACUUGCCACCCGUACAUCUGGAUACACGACACUGGCAGCGACACGUUGAGGAUGGUGAAGCAACAAUAUCUUAGUCUUGACGACCUCAGAGACUGUUCGGAGAUCAGAGUUUUCCGGGAUCAUCAGCGAGGCUGCAUAUCAGUCCGCAAGAAAUCUAGGCCAGAUUUUUGCUGAAACUCUUUUACUUAUGUGUAAGAUGUUGGUGGUGGAAUUGAUGGUUGUUUCUUUUUUUGGGGUUCUUUCACCUUUGAGUCUUGGUUCUUGCUUCCCUAUUUCUUAUCAUCUGAAUUGCCAGCAUUCAGUUGCUUUUGUUUUGUGAUCAUGCAAUGUGUAAAAGAUUAUAGGGAAUGACGUUAAUACAGCUGUUAUGGGAUUUGUUGUUCUCGGCUGUCAUUUGGAUAUAAUUUGUAUGCUAUAAGCUGCUGCAUUUGACUAACAUUGACUAUGUUUUCUGAGAAUUAGAGGAAAAUUUAAAAAAAAAAAAAAAUUCUCCGCAAAAUGAUAUAUAUAGCUACAAAACGAUAAAAAAAAUUACGAACUCCAAGUAGUUUGUAAUCUUUUGUUAUUUUUGUAACAAGCUGACUGGUUAAAUUCGCAUUUUACAAAUAUAAGAAAUUCCAGAGUAGAGAAAGGACUGAGAAUCACGUGUUGCAAAAUUAUUUUUGUGCCCCCCCCCACCCCAAAAAAAAANNNNNNNUUUUUGCCCCCCCCCCCCCCAAAAAAAAAAAAAAGAAGAAGAAGACGACAUUUUGUCCAUAUGAGUCAACAUUAUUACAUUAUCCCUUCUGUUUUAAGUAUCUUGAAUGGCGCCAUUCUUAUGCUUGUCUUCAGUUAACAAUUAGUGCUCCAAUUCUGCUGACCACUGAGGGUUUUGCUGCUAUGCUCACAUUUCAACCAUCUUUAAAGUUAAAAUUAUGAACUGGGUUGUUUGGAUGGGAAGAAAACAUGAUAAAAGCUGGGUGCAAUGAUUAAAAUAAAUAAAUGGAUAAACGACCCCUAAAAUGAUUUGUAAAUGAAGUAUUGAUAGCUAAAUUGAGACGAUGAUACAGUUGAAAGUAUAAUAAACUAUUCUUUUCUCUUUUACCUUAAAAUUAUCAAAUCUGCUUAUGAGGUUGAUAUUCAAAUUGGUUCAAGAGAUCAUUAGAACUUAUACUUAGUCGUAUUUUAGGAGCAUUGCCCCUUUUGUAUUAGUUCUUACUAUAUAUAUAUAUAUAUUUCAAGUCAAAUGGUUGACCAACCAAUUUGAUCCUCUAAAAUUUAUUAUUAAAAAAAAAACUAUUAGAAGAAUGCCAUUCACACUAAUACAAGAGUUAUAUGUAUCAUAUGUUAUGUGUGUUGUGCUGCUAAAAUCUAUUGACUUUAAUUAGAUGAGUAAAGAGUGGAUUUAGUUCAACUAGUUUCUACAAUUUGUGUCGUUUUAUAUUAUAAUUUUUAGGUUUUAUUUUACUCCGAUCAUCUAUUUUUAUUGAGGAGUAUAACAACAAAUAGAUGUUUUGUCUUUGUAUUGAGCACUAAUAUUUUAACAUCAUCUAAAUACCUUUAGGCCAUAAAAUAGGAUAAUGAUCGUUCUAUAAUAAUAUCGUUAUGUUUGAUUUUGAUUAAACAAUAAUUUGAGUAUCGGAGUGUCUUUUUUCAAGUACUCACCCUUCUGAAAUCAAGAUCAAUGAUUGUAAGAACUCUGUCUAAGUAUAAAUAGUGAUUUUUAGAGGAUAAAGACCUCCCAAAAACACUGUAACACACAAAAUAAGUUCCUACUGUAGUGCUAUAAUUUCUUUCGUUUUAAUGUUUUAUUGAUGGUCAAAUAUAUUAUUUUGAUUGGUAACUUAGCUGAGACCCUCGGCGUAAGUCGCUGUACGUACAAUUAUCGUGUUUCCAGAUUAGUGCACGCGCCGUAAUAAAAAAUGUCAAUGGAGAAACAAGGGAAAGCGAUUUAAAAAAACACGAAAAAAAAAGAAACUUCUGAAGCGCGUGUAAUAGUCUUCCAGAGUUUUUUUCUUCUUUUUAAAAGUCGUGUCUUAAUCAACACGAAGAACAAAUUUUACCAAUUCCUCAUUCAACAACUACUACUGUAACGAAACAAAAAUCAUCACAAAAACACGACUAAUUCUUUAAACAAAUCGUCAAUCUUCUUUUUUUUUCUUUUCUAUUUCAUGAAAAAAUAAUGGGAAUUUCAUGGAGCAACAGAAGAAGAAACAACCACCACCACCAUCAGUUCUUGGCUCCGCCGCCACCGCCUCCUCCUCCGCCACUUCCACCGUACCAAGAACCCACUUUGUACGCCGCAACAAACCCACCUCCGCCACCUGCCCCACAUCCUUAUCAUCCGCCCCACGCGCCGUACCCUGUACCCCCACCACAACCGCCGCCGCAGGCACCCGUAAACCCUUACUAUUAUCACUCACAUGGGUACAAUUCGUGCGGUUAUCCGAAUCCCAUGAUGGGAAGGUUCAGUUAUCAGUUUCAGUACCAGCCUCCUUAUUAUGCCAACCAGGCUCAAUCUCAGGCUCACGGCUGGCCCGCUGCUGCUAGGCAGUCUCAAGUGAGCCCCCCGCCGCCGUAUGUUGAUCAUCAGAGUGCUAAGAAGGUGAGGAACGAUGUGAAUGUGCAUAAGCACACGUUGAAGAUUGAAGUUGAUGAGGAAAACCCGGAUCAUGUGCUUGUGUCUUUUGUUUUUGAUGCCCUGUUCGAUGGGAGGUUAGUGAUUUCUUUCUUUCUUUCUUUUGCCUACAACUUUGUUUUUUCAAAUUUAUUUUUCGGUUUUGUAUUUGUUUUUAUUUGAUUUUAUUCAGUGGGUAUGGUUAGAUUUAGUGUUUUGGAUUCUUUUUUAGCUGAGUCUUUCUCUUGGUUUGGCUGAUCAGAAGAUGUAAGAAAGAAGUGAAAUUGUGAUCUUAUGACGAACUAAUAACAAAAAAGGUUACAAUUUCUUAGUUUUCAUUGAAUUGUCGAUCAUCUGCGUUCAGAAUUCUUCUUUUUCCUCUACGUAAGCAUAGAGAAGAAAAGCUAACUACUGUGGAAGGAUUACUCUAAAGGCAUGGAACUGGGCAGAAUGAGCUGUAGUAGAGAUGAAGUUGGCCAGGGGAUUAUGAUAACCAUUUUCACAAUUUUUGUGGAAAAAUAAUAAUAAUAAUAAUAAAAUGCUUACGCACAAUGCUACAAUGUAGCAUUCUCGUGUAUGGUAUUUGACAAUGAUUCAGGGUUAUGGUUGACACUAUAUACUUAGAUUUGAUUCUUCGAUGAUACAUUGAUUAAUGAUGCCCAUAGAACAAAUGUUUCCUUUUACUUUAUAUUGCCUUGCCUCUUUGUGGUCAUGUGUGCAAGUAGCACAGAUGAUAAGUAUGCUAAAUAGAGAAAAUUGAUAAUACAUAGAUUUGGAGAAAUAUGAACUGGAAUCGAGUUGAAGAGACUCUUCUUGCGGUAAUUUCUCAUACUUUUAAAACUGCAUGGUCGGAAUUCAUAUUAGUGUGUAAUUCAGCCCUUGGCAGUUUUUCACCCUUAUCCUAUUUAGGAAGUGUAAUAUCUAAACAAGAGAAGCGAGGUUUAAGAAAGAGGUAUGACAUUUGGGAUGCAUUUUGUGAUCUUUUGUCAUAGUCACCAGCAGAACAACUUUUCAUUGCUGGCCUUUAGUUUGUUAGCUGCUCUCAUGUUGCCUAGGGCACGGGGACCUUUCUGAUACAUCAAAAUCUACAGUUAUGUGGUCAAGCCUAUGAUAGUUGGAUGUUAUGAUUUCACUUAUGCCUUACUUUUCUUAUCUCCUUUUAUGUUAUGUUCUCUGUCUCCCCAGGAGUUUAAGGGGAUCAUCUUUGUUCCCAACAUUG